GACGUAGGGCGCGAGCGUUGUCCGGAUUUAUUGGGCGUAAAGAGCUCGCAGGCGGCUUGUUGCGUCGACUGUGAAAACCUGCGGCUCAACCGUGUGGUCUGCAGUCGAUACGGGCAGGCUGGAGUUCGGUAGGGGAGACUGGAAUUCCUGGUGUAGCGGUGAAAUGCGCAGAUAUCUGGAGGAACACCGGUGGCGAAGGCGGCAUCCUGGACCAAUAUUGACGCUGAGGAGCGAAAGCUAGGGAGCAAACGGG
rnacentral:rRNA from 1 species